rnacentral:rRNA from 1 species
AGAGUUUGAUCCUGGCUCAGAUUGAACGCUGGCGGAACGCUUUACACAUGCAAGUCGAACGGUAACGCGGAGAGAAGCUUGCUUCUCUCCGGCGACGAGUGGCGAACGGGUGAGUAAUACAUCGGAACGUGUCCGCUCGUGGGGGACAACCAGCCGAAAGGUUGGCUAAUACCGCAUGAGUUCUACGGAAGAAAGAGGGGGACCCGCAAGGGCCUCUCGCGAGCGGAGCGGCCGAUGACUGAUUAGCCGGUUGGUGAGGUAACGGCUCACCAAAGCAACGAUCAGUAGCUGGUCUGAGAGGACGACCAGCCACACUGGGACUGAGACACGGCCCAGACUCCUACGGGAGGCAGCAGUGGGGAAUUUUGGACAAUGGGCGCAAGCCUGAUCCAGCUAUUCCGCGUGUGGGAUGAAGGCCCUCGGGUUGUAAACCACUUUUGUAGAGAACGAAAAGACACCUUCGAAUAAAGGGUGUUGCUGACGGUACUCUAAGAAUAAGCACCGGCUAACUACGUGCCAGCAGCCGCGGUAAUACGUAGGGUGCGAGCGUUAAUCGGAAUUACUGGGCGUAAAGGGUGCGCAGGCGGUUGAGUAAGACAGAUGUGAAAUCCCCGAGCUUAACUCGGGAAUGGCAUAUGUGACUGCUCGACUAGAGUGUGUCAGAGGGAGGUGGAAUUCCACGUGUAGCAGUGAAAUGCGUAGAUAUGUGGAAGAACACCGAUGGCGAAGGCAGCCUCCUGGGACAUAACUGACGCUCAGGCACGAAAGCGUGGGGAGCAAACAGGAUUAGAUACCCUGGUAGUCCACGCCCUAAACGAUGUUAACUAGUUGUUGGGAAGUAAUAUUCUCAGUAACGCAGCCAACGCGAGAAGUUAACCGCCUGGGAAGUACGGUCGCAAGACUAAAACUCAAAGGAAUUGACGGGGACCCGCACAAGCGGUGGAUGAUGUGGAUUAAUUCGAUGCAACGCGAAAAACCUUACCUACCCUUGACAUGUCAGGAAGCUCUUGUAAUGAGAGUGUGCCCGCAAGGGAGCCUGAAC